CCUACGGGAGGCAGCAGUGGGGAAUAUUGGACAAUGGGCGCAAGCCUGAUCCAGCCAUGCCGCGUGAGUGAUGAAGGCCUUAGGGUUGUAAAGCUCUUUUGCCGGGGACGAUAAUGACGGUACCCGGAGAAUAAGUCCCGGCUAACUUCGUGCCAGCAGCCGCGGUAAUACGAAGGGGACUAGCGUUGUUCGGAAUCACUGGGAGUAAAGCGCACGUAGGCGGAUUUGUAAGUCAGGGGUGAAAUCCCGGGGCUCAACCUCGGAACUGCCUUUGAUACUGCGAAUCUUGAGUCCGAUAGAGGUGGGUGGAAUUCCUAGUGUAGAGGUGAAAUUCGUAGAUAUUAGGAAGAACACCGGUGGCGAAGGCGGCCCACUGGAUCGGUACUGACGCUGAGGUGCGAAAGCGUGGGGAGCAAACAGGAUUAGAUACCCCUGUAGUC
rnacentral:rRNA from 1 species